CCUGUUCAUACUCCCAACCUCUCUCUCUCUCCAACUUUAAUUUCAUUCUCAUUUCAAUUUCAAUUUUGAUGUCUCUGCAGGCGUUUCAUCGGUGCCGUUUUCGAUUCCAAGGGUGCGGAUGCAAUUCUCUCCUUUGAAAAGUUCUGCUGCAAUCUCCCCAGAUCUCUUCUUCAGAUCAUAUAUGAUUAAUGUGAAUGAAGAACACUAGGUUGAGUUGAAUUGAAUUGAAUCAUGGAUAAGAGCAUGUUAGCUAGUUUGGAAUCACUUCCAGAAGCUUAUCAGCAAAGAAUGGCGUCCAUGAUGGAACAAGUUCAAAUCCGUGACAGCAUGAAGGGGAUUUUUAUUGCAUUGUUAGUUUUGGCUUGCAUGGCCUUCCUGCAGCUCGAGAGGUCCAACCAAUCAAAGUAUCCAAAAUGUUUGCCAAGAAGAAUGCUAUUGGAAAAGAACAGGUGGCAAAAUUAGUGGACGACACAUAUAGAAAAAUGCAUAUAUUUGGUGCCACUGACCUUGCAUCAAAGGGACAGGGAGCCUCAGAUAGCAGUAAUGUGAAAAUUAAAGUGUGACGAUCCACGAUGCCAUGUGUGGCAGCACA